ACACGCUUCCCCACUGAGGGAAGACCAUGUGACUAUACAACAGGAAGGUAGUUGUUUACAAGCCAGGAAGAGAGCCCUCACCAGAAACCAAAUUGGCUGGCGCCUUGAUCAUGGACUCCUGGGCUCCGGAACUGUAAGAAAAUUUGUGUUGUGGAAGCCACCCAGCCCAUGGUAUUUCGUUAUGGCAGCCUGAGCAGAGGUGGUAGCUAUGUGGACAGUUUUUGGACUUCUCUAUUGUAACACAGGAGGCAACACAGAUUCUUCAAGUCUCACAGCUACUCCCUAGGGAUCACUGGGGAACUUGGAAAAAAUCUAUUGGCUCAGCUAGUGAGCGAUCACUUCCUGUACCACUGUUCUGAGGGCGGACUUCCAGCUCAGGAUCAUGCGAGGGCAUUUUGUUGCCCUUCAUCACUCAGCAGUGAAGAAUGAAAAUCAACAGAGCUUUCCCCAGCCUGCUGCUUAAGCAGCUGCUAGCAGGCUGAGGCUGCCCAGCCUCAUUAACCCAUUAGAUGCUGCGUUCGCCCGGGAGUCAUUCUUAAUGAGGCUGCUGCAGAUGAGAAAACAGAAGCAAAGGCAGAAAGAUGCUACAUUGCCAGCUUUGAAGAUGGAGGGAAGAGGUCACAAACCAAGGAAGGCAAUGAGGACGUUGCACAAGACAGUCCCUGAUACCCAGAGUUUACUGCCUAAGAGAGGAUACAUCCUUCAAACCAAUAAUCUGCUAAUAGCAAGAUCCAAUAGCUUCAUGGAUAUUGAAAGAAACUGAGAAUCAAAUUUGCAUACUUCUGAGUCACUUGGAAACAAAAAACAAGUACAGUCUUAGAUUCUGAGGGAACAAAAAUUAAAAAUCACAUUAGGAAGAGAAUUCCUAAUGUAGGAACUCAUCCUGGAAGAUUCUUCAGCAAAAGUACAGACAAUAAUAAUAAUACUCCAUGAAGUUACCAUCGAUAUUGAAUGAAUUAAUGAAUGUAAAAACCUCAAAACCCUGCCUGGCCCAGAGCUUUGGAAUGGGUUUGGAUCUACCACUCAACUGCUUUAUGACUUCAGACCAGUUAUUUAAAUUCCCUGAAGCUCAGUUUCCACAUCUUUGAGUGCAGCCCGGAGAGCUGUGAGCAGUGCCACAGGAGGAGAUGACUGGUGAGUGAAAUAAGCAAGAUAGGAGUUGAAGUGUACAUGAAGCAGAGUCCAAGCCUUCUCCUUCUGGAUGUUCAGCUGGAUCAUCCUGACUGCUCCCACUUUCAUCUUGGCUUUCAAAGGCAAGAGGAAAUUAUAAGGAAUAUUCUGAGUGGCUUUCAUCCAGGAGUUCUGUGGGACCCGCAACACCUGGAUGGUAGAUGCAAACAGAUAAAGAAUAUUGGUCACCAAAAGGAGUUCUUUUCAUCAUAGAUCUCUGAAGGUAGACACCUAUUUGCAGACUUCUCAAAGGGCUAUAUGGAUGUGCUCUACUUGUUGGAGGAUUGUCCAUCCACUCUUCUUCCUGUACUUACCAGGACAGAACAGCCGCAACUUCUCAGACAGUUCAUUCUUCUUUUCCUCACCUACUACCAUCUAAGAAAGGUACUUGAUGACUGUGGCUUUAGACAAGAGUCCUUUUCUUACCACAGGGUGGGCAGCACCAGCUCAUUAGAACCAUUUGUGUGACUGACUGAAGACAGCUCACCUUGGAACACUGCAGGUUGAAGAUCAUCUCUUCUUUUUUUCAUGGUGUUAAGCAUAAUAUGGCGUAAGUGACAUUUUACAAGUUCCAGAGCCUGGGACUCAAGAUGUCUUGGAGAUUCUGUCUUUGCAGUCUUAUAAUGAUGCCCUGAGAUCAUCAUUAAAGAAAGCCAGUCUGGCCUACUGAGGAUGAGAAGCUACAUAAAGGAGAAUGAAGAUUCCCCAGCCAACAGGCAAUAUCAGUGGUCAGAUAUGUGAAUAAAGCCAUGUUGAACCUCUCGGCUAGACGACCCUCCAGCAUAUGAAACCAGCAGAUGAAUAUCCCAGCCUGCCUGAAGAACUGUACAGGAAAUAAGAAAUCAUUGUUUUUUAAGCCACUGGGUUGGUGGGUGGUUUGUUACAUUGAAAUUGUUAACUAAAACAGAAAUUGGUGCAUAGAGGUCAGGUGCUGUCAUAAUAAAAAUCUAAAACAUAUACUGUUGGCUUUGGUGAUGGGAGUGAUUGGUAGCUAAAGAGGCAGUGAAACAAUGAUUAGUAGAUACUGGGAAGUUAAUAAGGAAAUUUCUAUUGGAGGGUGGAGAAAGGGCCACCCUUGUUAUAUAGUGGCCAAAGAAUCAGCAAAAUGUUGCCUGCUGCAACCUGGAAAGUAGAAACUUUUCUUAAACUCACGGAUCUGGCUGGGAGAUUUCCAGGAUGCAUGCAACAAAUGUGAAUCAACUUUGUAUAGCUGUGUAUAAUAAAGUGUGCUGUAUUUGUCCAUUCUGAUGCUGCUAAUAAAGACAUACCUGAGACUGAA
rnacentral:lncRNA from 1 species